rnacentral:rRNA from 1 species
CCUACGGGAGGCAGCAGUGGGGAAUAUUGCACAAUGGGGGAAACCCUGAUGCAGCGACGCCGCGUGAGUGAAGACGUAUUUCGGUAUGUAAAGCUCUAUUAGCAGGGAAGAAAAAAGACGGUACCUGACUAUGAAGCCCCUGCUAACUACGUGCCAGCAGCCGCGGUAAUACGUAGGGGGCAAGCGUUAUCCGGAUUUACUGGGUGUAACGGGAGCGUAGGCGGCAGUACAAGUCGGAAGUGAAAUCCCCGGGCUCAACCGGGGAACUGCUUUGGAACCUGUAUGGCUUGAGUACUGGAGAGGUAGGCGGAAUUCCUAGUGUAGCGGUGAAAUGCGUAGAUAUUAGGAGGAACACCAGUGGCGAAGGCGGCGUACUGGACAGAAACUGACGUUGAGGCUCGAAAGCGUGGGGAGCAAACAGGAUUAGAUACCCGGGUAGUC